ensembl:miRNA
UCAGCUUGUUGGCAGGAGUGGAGGAUGAGGAUCCACCUUCUGAGCAGGGUCUUUCUGUGGGUGUGUCACAGACAAGAACUCCCAGGGUGGGUCCUUCCACCCAGAUGGCUCAGCC